AACAAUAGGAAUGGGAGGCAU
rnacentral:miRNA from 2 species